rnacentral:lncRNA from 1 species
AUUUUGGCAUGGAAUGUCAUUGCAAUUUCUCCACAGGGUGUAGUAUUUUAAGUGUUAGUCCAGCAAGUUCAUCUGAAUUUUUCCUUCUUCUUGGGUGCAGGUGUUCCUUUCUAUUUGGAAGUAAAAAAACACUAGCAAUCAUACCUGAUUACGUGCUAUAGCUUGAAGUAAACCUUCCUUCUCCCUAAAUGCUGGUAGAGACUUCCGGAAUUCCAGCAUCUUCUUGCCUUCAGGUGAUUCCAAUGUAUAAAAGUAAAAUAUAUAAAGAAGCCAGAAAAUGUGAAUAUUAUUUUAAUAAGUUUCUACCUUUUAAAAUAGAAUUACAAUGGCAGUUCCUCUUGUAAAAUAAUUAGUCGGUAUUGUUUUAAAUAUCAUCCAUGAAUAUCAGUUCAGAUAGAGACCCAAAUUCAAAAGAAAUAGAAAAUGUAUUAUUGAUGAUUGAAAUAAAAAAAACAAUUACAGAGAAUGAUCCCUAUAAUCCCAGAGCAAAAGAUCCGAAGAGAACAGAUAUUUCUCUCUCUGCCUAAAUUCUAAGAUCUGUAACUGAAUAAUUCUGAAAGAUCUACAACAGCCAGCAGUUUCCCUUUUAUUCGCACACAAUACAUAACUAACUUAAUAACUACUUAUUAAAUAUUAAUUUACACAAUAACUGCCAUAACUGCUAUUAUAAAAUAUAAUAUUUAUUUAAUAAUAAUAAUAGUCUAACGCUGGAUUCUAAGGUGAGGGAGCAACUAAGGCUCUGUUUGGUAACACAAAUAAGCUAGCUUAUAGCUUAUUAUAUGAGCUUAUAAGCUUGUUUCAAAAAAUUAGAGGUGUUUGGUAACAAGCUUUUUGUANNNNNNNNNNNNNNNNNNNNNNNNNNNNNNNNNNNNNNNNNNNNNNNNNCUUUUUACACUUUAUUCCAUUUUUACCCUUUAAUUUAAUAACUACCCACUCUAAAAAAUAAACUACCCACUAUCAAUUAUGUAAUUUUAUAUUUAAUAACCACUUUUAAAGCUAAUUUUACCAAACACUUUAAUUUCAAUAAGCUAGCUUUUCAGCUAUCAGCUAUAAGCUAGCUUUUCAGCUAUCGGCUAGCUUAUCAGCUAUCAGCUAGCUUAUAGCUUAUUUUUACCAAACAGACCCUAAGCCUCACCGGUGUACCCCACCAUUUUACCAUUGGAUUAAAUGGUCCAUUCUUUCAUUGCCACACCAGAUUUAUAGCCUUCUUUUAUAGUAAAAAUAAAUAAAUCUAUUAAUCUUGACAACAAGAGUUGUUCAAAUGCCACUGUAGGUUUGAAAAACUAGUGUUUUUCAUUUUUUUAAUUAAUUAAUCUUUUUAUAUAUUUUGUUAGAUAAAUGUUGUUAGUGGUUGUUGAUUUAACUAGGGAAGGUAUUAUCUAGGAAAAGUAAUUUUUAGCUUUGUCAUUUAAUAGGGAAGGUAAUUCUGCAACACAAACUUUACCCCCAAGUUUCAAAUUCCUUUGUCUAUAAAUAGCAAAGGAUUGGUGCAUCAAAAAUACAAUACUAUUUCCUUUCAUUUUUUAUCCUUUCUCUUUUCUUCAACACAAGAGAACCCAUCUUCAUUUCCUUUUUGUUAUUGACUUCUGUUUUACAUUGAAUUCUUGAGGAUUGAUUUCUUGAACCUGAAAAGAAAAAACUCAUUUGAUUAGAUCUCAUCCAUAAUCAAUAUUUAAGUGAGGCAUGAAUAUAUGAACAAAAAUUGAGGCCAUGAACUAUUUCUAUAUGCAAUUUAUUAGUUACUUUGUUUGCAACUUACAUUUUAUUAUUGAUUGGUCUUUUUUAUAGGUGACACUCACUUCUAUCAAGGAUCUUGUGUCUGUGUUUCAAAGGUAAAUAUAUGUUUUUCGAAGAUCUCAUUUCUUUCAUGAAUUGUC